rnacentral:lncRNA from 1 species
AGAGGACAAAGAAGAUAGAAAAGCAUAAUAGGGUGAUGACAAACGAUGAUAACUUAAACCGAUAUAAUGGGGAUUAGAAUUAAGGGUGUUCCGUAUACCUUUCCGAAGUGCAAUCGAAAGAGACAAGUCCGCAGUAGGAGCGAGUCAGGUGCAGGAAGUGAAUCAGCCGAGCCGGAUGCUGGGCGAGGACGACGAUGAUAUGUCAAAAGUGAAGUGUCUUGUGCAGGGAGUCUAGGAGGAGCCACAGUAGAUGGUCCAACGUUUGGAAUGGGUAA